GACGAACGCUGGCGGCGUGCUUAACACAUGCAAGUCGAACGGAAAGGCCCUGCUUUUGUGGGGUGCUCGAGUGGCGAACGGGUGAGUAACACGUGAGUAACCUGCCCUUGACUUUGGGAUAACUUCAGGAAACUGGGGCUAAUACCGGAUAGGAGCUCCCGCUGCAUGGUGGGGGUGGGAAAGUUUCGGCGGUUGGGGAUGGACUCGCGGCUUAUCAGCUUGUUGGUGGGGUAGUGGCUUACCAAGGCUGUGACGGGUAGCCGGCCUGAGAGGGUGACCGGCCACAUUACGCCUGCGAUACGGCCCAGUCUCGAACGGGAGGCAGCGGUGGGGGAUAUUGCACAAUGGGCGGGCGCCUGUUGCGACAACGCCGCGUGCGGGAAGCCGGCCUGCGGGUAGUAAACCGCUUCCGCUUGAGACGAAGCGUGAGUGACGGUACUGGGUAAAGAAGCACCGGCUAACUACGUG
rnacentral:rRNA from 1 species